rnacentral:rRNA from 1 species
AGGGUUUGAUUCUGGCUCAGGAUGAACGCUGGCGGCGUGCUUAACACAUGCAAGUCGAACGGGAAUUACUUUAUUGAAACUUCGGUCGAUUUAAUUUAAUUCUAGUGGCGGACGGGUGAGUAACGCGUGGGUAACCUGCCUUGUACAGGGGGAUAACAGUCAGAAAUGACUGCUAAUACCGCAUAAGCGCACGGAGCUGCAUGGCUCAGUGUGAAAAACUCCGGUGGUAUAAGAUGGACCCGCGUUGGAUUAGCUAGUUGGUGAGGUAACGGCCCACCAAGGCGACGAUCCAUAGCCGGCCUGAGAGGGUGAACGGCCACAUUGGGACUGAGACACGGCCCAG